GAUGAAGAACGUAGCGAAAUGCGAUAAGUAAUGCGAAUUGCAGAAUUCCGUGAGUCAUCGAAUCUUUGAACGCACAUUGCGCCCGCCAGUAUUCUGGCGGGCAUGCCUGUUCGAGCGUCAUUUCAACCAUCAAGCCCCCGGGCUUGUGUUGGGGACCUGCGGCUGCCGCAGGCCCUGAAAAGCAGUGGCGGGCUCGCUGUCACACCGAGCGUAGUAGAUUUUAUCUCGCUCUGGGCGUGCUGCGGGUUCCGGCCGUUAAACCACCCUUUUAACCCAAGGUUGACCUCGGAUCAGGUAGGAAGACCCGCUGAACUUAAGCAUAUCAAUAAGCGGAGGA
rnacentral:misc_RNA from 1 species